ensembl:snRNA U1 U1 spliceosomal RNA
AUACUUACCUGGCAGGGGAGAUACCAUGAUCACGAAGGUGGUUUUCCCAGGGCGAGGCUUAUCCAUUGCACUCCGGAUGUGCUGACCUCUGCGAUUUCCCCAAAUGCGGGAAACUCGACUGCAUAAUUUGUGGUAGUGGGGGACUGCGUUCGCGCUCUCCCCUG